AUUGAAACACUAGUUUCUGUAUGAUCUCCGAAGUUAAGCAACAUUGAGCCUGGUUGGUACCCAGAUGGCUGGCUGCUUGGGAAUACCAGGUGUUAU